UUGAGAGGGCAAGGCAGGGAGAGCUUCAGGAAACAGCUCCAGGGAGACAGCUAGGUUGGGUGGGACAGGAAACAGGAAGCAAUGUCAAGAAGGGGGUGGGGCUGGAAGUAGGCUUUAAGCCCUGUCAGCUCUUCACUGGGGCAUUUAAAGACAAGGCAGCUGAUGAUGAGGGGCUGCUUCUGAGUAUGGGAGCCAGAAGUUCUCCAGGAGAGGGAACUGGCUGAAUGCAGCAAGCCAGGAGGAGGACUCAGGUGACAAAUUAACCUCCACCCCUGGCUGUUCCUGAGGCUGACCUUUUCUGUACUUACACAGUCAUUCUGGAAUUCAAGAAGGGCUAGGAGCCCACCUCAUCCCCUGAGAGUCUGACAACAAGAUAACAAAACAGAAAAAACUUAGGAUAUAGGAUAAAAAUCCCAAAUACCUCCCCUCAUUGCCAUGAGACACCUAUGUCCAAUUAUAUUGAUGUGCCUAAAAGCAUCCAUUUCAUGAUGAACAAUGGGCAUGGUAUGGCUGUAUGUGCCAGAGUUUUCCAUCGCACAAAUGAGGAGAAGUGAUUUUUGGCUGUCUUCCCUUCCCUCUGUAGCCACUUGUGACUACCCCACAACCACCUUGUUGUAUUUCCAUGCUUUCUGGAGCACGAGUGAACAUAUUCCAGUUUUCAAGCAGUUUGCUCAAAUUACUAGCAGUUAAAUAGUGGAAAACAAGGUUAAGAAUACAUGUCAAUUAUGGAUGGCAGUCUUGGAGAGAGAGAGAGAAAGAGAAAGAGAGACUGUGUAUUUGUUAUAUUGUUUUAAAGGCUCAAAUAUUAAGCAUUGUUUUCAUUUACUUUAUUAACAGCAGAGUAUUAAAAUGGAUCUAUAAACUAGUGUUGAUAUGCCAGUCAUGCCUUGGAAAUAGUUAAACAUUAUUCUAUCGCAGCUGAACAUUCCAGGGUUUUUUUUCCUUGUGAAAUUAAUGCUUUUAGGCUGAAUUUAUGUCUGUCAACAAAUAAUGAUAAUAGAUGUGAGCUGGCUCAUAAUCCAGAGGUACUAGGUUACAAUGUGUUGCCAUGGAAACAGUGUUUUAUUGCAUUUUCUCUACUUGAUUUAAGCCAUUUGACAAUCAUAGCAACUGUUUGCCUGUCUUCCACAUCAUAAA